CCUACGGGAGGCAGCAGUGAGGAAUAUUGGUCAAUGGGCUUACGCCUGAACCAGCCAAGUCGCGUGAGGGAAGACUGCCCUAUGGGUUGUAAACCUCUUUUGUCGGGGAGCAAAAGCCGGACGUGUCCGGCGGUGAGAGUACCCGAAGAAAAAGCAUCGGCUAACUCCGUGCCAGCAGCCGCGGUAAUACGGGGGAUGCGAGCGUUAUCCGGAUUUAUUGGGUUUAAAGGGUGCGCAGGCGGAGUGUUAAGUCAGCGGUCAAAUCGUGGGGCUCAACCCCAUCCAGCCGUUGAAACUGGGGAUCUAGAGUGCGCAUGCGGUAUGAGGAAUGUGUGGUGUAGCGGUGAAAUGCAUAGAUAUCACGCAGAACCCCGAUUGCGAAGGCAGCAUACGGGUGCACAACUGACGCUCAGGCACGAAAGCGUGGGUAUCGAACAGGAUUAGAUACCCUAGUAGUC
rnacentral:rRNA from 1 species